UUAAAUUGAAGAGUUUGAUCAUGGCUCAGAUUGAACGCUGGCGGCAGGCCUAACACAUGCAAGUCGAACGGUAACAGGAAACAGCUUGCUGUUUCGCUGACGAGUGGCGGACGGGUGAGUAAUGUCUGGGAAACUGCCUGAUGGAGGGGGAUAACUACUGGAAACGGUAGCUAAUACCGCAUAACGUCGCAAGACCAAAGAGGGGGACCUUCGGGCCUCUUGCCAUCGGAUGUGCCCAGAUGGGAUUAGCUUGUUGGUGGGGUAACGGCUCACCAAGGCGACGAUCCCUAGCUGGUCUGAGAGGAUGACCAGCCACACUGGAACUGAGACACGGUCCAGACUCCUACGGGAGGCAGCAGUGGGGAAUAUUGCACAAUGGGCGCAAGCCUGAUGCAGCCAUGCCGCGUGUAUGAAGAAGGCCUUCGGGUUGUAAAGUACUUUCAGCGGGGAGGAAGGGAGUAAAGUUAAUACCUUUGCUCAUUGACGUUACCCGCAGAAGAAGCACCGGCUAACUCCGUGCCAGCAGCCGCGGUAAUACGGAGGGUGCAAGCGUUAAUCGGAAUUACUGGGCGUAAAGCGCACGCAGGCGGUUUGUUAAGUCAGAUGUGAAAUCCCCGGGCUCAACCUGGGAACUGCAUCUGAUACUGGCAAGCUUGAGUCUCGUAGAGGGGGGUAGAAUUCCAGGUGUAGCGGUGAAAUGCGUAGAGAUCUGGAGGAAUACCGGUGGCGAAGGCGGCCCCCUGGACGAAGACUGACGCUCAGGUGCGAAAGCGUGGGGAGCAAACAGGAUUAGAUACCCUGGUAGUCCACGCCGUAAACGAUGUCGACUUGGAGGUUGUGCCCUUGAGGCGUGGCUUCCGGAGCUAACGCGUUAAGUCGACCGCCUGGGGAGUACGGCCGCAAGGUUAAAACUCAAAUGAAUUGACGGGGGCCCGCACAAGCGGUGGAGCAUGUGGUUUAAUUCGAUGCAACGCGAAGAACCUUACCUGGUCUUGACAUCCACGGAAGUUUUCAGAGAUGAGAAUGUGCCUUCGGGAACCGUGAGACAGGUGCUGCAUGGCUGUCGUCAGCUCGUGUUGUGAAAUGUUGGGUUAAGUCCCGCAACGAGCGCAACCCUUAUCCUUUGUUGCCAGCGGUCCGGCCGGGAACUCAAAGGAGACUGCCAGUGAUAAACUGGAGGAAGGUGGGGAUGACGUCAAGUCAUCAUGGCCCUUACGACCAGGGCUACACACGUGCUACAAUGGCGCAUACAAAGAGAAGCGACCUCGCGAGAGCAAGCGGACCUCAUAAAGUGCGUCGUAGUCCGGAUUGGAGUCUGCAACUCGACUCCAUGAAGUCGGAAUCGCUAGUAAUCGUGGAUCAGAAUGCCACGGUGAAUACGUUCCCGGGCCUUGUACACACCGCCCGUCACACCAUGGGAGUGGGUUGCAAAAGAAGUAGGUAGCUUAACCUUCGGGAGGGCGCUU
rnacentral:rRNA from 1 species